rnacentral:rRNA from 1 species
UACGGAGGGUGCAAACGUUGCACGGAAUUAUUGGGCGUAAAGCGCACGUAGGCGGCCGACUAAGUCGGGUGUGAAAGCCCUGGGCUCAACCCAGGAAGUGCACUCGAAACUGAUCGGCUUGAAUAUGGAAGAGGGUCGCGGAAUUCCCGGUGUAGAGGUGAAAUUCGUAGAUAUCGGGAGGAACACCAGUGGCGAAGGCGGCGACCUGGGCCAAUAUUGACGCUGAGGUGCGAAAGCGUGGGGAGCAAACAGG